rnacentral:lncRNA from 13 species
UACGGAGGUCACAGUGCAGUGCAGGGAGCUUUGGUGUAGGAGGCAGAGACCCGGGAUCUGGCUGUCAGCAGCCGCCUCUCUUAGCUGCUAUUGCUGUUGCUUCAAAUGUGCUUGACUUUGGAGCUGGCUACUUUCAGUUUCUCCUCCUCACUGCAGGAUCCAGGCUGACCACAUUUUCUUUGGUCUCUGCCUCAACAGGUGCAGUGGCUCAUGCCUGUAAUCUCAGCACUUUGAGAGGCCAAAGUGGGAGGAUUGCUUGAACCCUGGAAUUCGAGAACCAGCCUGGGCAACAUAGCACAACACCAUUUCUACAAAAAGAAAAAAAAUUAGCCAGAGCCUGAGAGUGAGGCCUUUGAAUGGUGCCCUGGACAGAGCUUGGAACAUGAAGGUGAAUACUGUGGUGGGGAGAAUACAUCCCUCCACCUGGCUCUGAGCCAGGGCCAGCCUUGGCUCCUGCUAGCCCCACGGAUACAGAGGAGGGAGUGGUGCUACUGUUGCCUUUGUCUAGAAAAAUGUGAUGUGCUCAAGGUAGGUAAACUGAGGCAAGAGGUGGAGGACACACAGGGAGGGGGUCACAGAGCACAAGCAUGGCAAACCCAGGAGAAAACCCCACUCAGAAGUGAAACUGCAGGGAGAUUUAGCGAGGCUGCUGUGAUGUGCUGGGUUCUCCAGGAGAGGGUGUGUGGUGGAUGGUUGGUGGGGGACAGGAGUGUGGUCUUGGGACCUGGUUCAAAUCCUGGCUUCCUCCUUUACUUCAUGAUAUGUAGUAAGGAGCUUCACAGCAUCUGGAAAUGAGGGUGGACCCUGGAGGUGGUGACGUAUGCUUCCAAAUGCCUGUCCCACUAUUCUUGCCAACUGAACACCCUUCUCCCGCCCCCCCUUUUCUCUUGUUUGAG